GCUUGAAUGAAUGGUUGGACGAGGGAUAAGCUGUCUCCUUUACGGUAUUUGAAUUUAACUUUUGAGUGAAAAGGCUCAAAUUAUUUAAAGGGACGAUAAGACCCUAUAAAACUUGAUAUAGUUUGAACUUAACUUGCGGUUUAAGUGAAAAGUAGUUUUGUUUGUUUUAUAUUUUGUUGGGGAGAUAGAGAUAUAAUGUGUAACUGUCUAUUGAAUUUUAUAGUUUUAAUUAGUAUUUGAUCCUUCUUUGGGGAUUAAGAGAGUAAGUUACUUUAGGGAUAACAGCGUGAUUUUCUUUGAGAGUUCUUAUCGACAAGAGUAGUUGCGACCUCGAUG
rnacentral:rRNA from 1 species